UUAAUAAAAAAUAUUGAAUUUAACUUUUGAGUGAAAAGGCUUAAAUGAUCUGGAGGGACGAUAAGACCCUAUAAAACUUUAUAUUUGAGGGUGGAAAUUAUUUUUAUUUGGAGGUUGAUAUCUAAAAUAUUUUGUUGGGGCGACAAGGAUAAAAUAUUAAGUAACUGUCUUUUUUUUUUACAAUGAUAUUUGGUUUAAUGACCCUAAAAAGGAUUAAAGAUUAAGUUACUUUAGGGAUAACAGCGUAAUUUUUUUUGAGAGUUCUUAUCGACAAGAAAGUUUGCGACCUCGAUGUUGAAUUAAAGGUUCUUU
rnacentral:rRNA from 1 species